rnacentral:rRNA from 2 species
GGGGAAAGGGGGGGGUGGCCCAAUAAUGCAAGUCGAGCGAACUGAUUAGAAGCUUGCUUCUAUGACGUUAGCGGCGGACGGGUGAGUAACACGUGGGCAACCUGCCUGUAAGACUGGGAUAACUUCGGGAAACCGAAGCUAAUACCGGAUAGGAUCUUCUCCUUCAUGGGAGAUGAUUGAAAGAUGGUUUCGGCUAUCACUUACAGAUGGGCCCGCGGUGCAUUAGCUAGUUGGUGAGGUAACGGCUCACCAAGGCAACGAUGCAUAGCCGACCUGAGAGGGUGAUCGGCCACACUGGGACUGAGACACGGCCCAGACUCCUACGGGAGGCAGCAGUAGGGAAUCUUCCGCAAUGGACGAAAGUCUGACGGAGCAACGCCGCGUGAGUGAUGAAGGCUUUCGGGUCGUAAAACUCUGUUGUUAGGGAAGAACAAGUACGAGAGUAACUGCUCGUACCUUGACGGUACCUAACCAGAAAGCCACGGCUAACUACGUGCCAGCAGCCGCGGUAAUACGUAGGUGGCAAGCGUUAUCCGGAAUUAUUGGGCGUAAAGCGCGCGCAGGCGGUUUCUUAAGUCUGAUGUGAAAGCCCACGGCUCAACCGUGGAGGGUCAUUGGAAACUGGGGAACUUGAGUGCAGAAGAGAAAAGCGGAAUUCCACGUGUAGCGGUGAAAUGCGUAGAGAUGUGGAGGAACACCAGUGGCGAAGGCGGCUUUUUGGUCUGUAACUGACGCUGAGGCGCGAAAGCGUGGGGAGCAAACAGGAUUAGAUACCCUUGGUAGUCCAAA